rnacentral:SRP_RNA from 1 species
GCUGGGCAUAGUGGUACAUGCCUGUAAUCCCAGCUACUUGGGAGGCUGAGGCAGGAGAAUUGCUUGAACCUGGGAGACAGAGCUUGCAGCGAGUGGAGAUCUCACCACUGCAGUCCAUCCAGCCUGGGCUACACAAGUCUCAAACCAAAAAAAAAAAAAAAGUGAGGGAGAAGGCUCCAGUAGAGACUGGGGGUGCCUGCAACAAGUGGACAGGCCUUUUUUUUUUUUUUUUUUGNNNNNNNNNNCUGGAGCCUUCUCCCUCACUUUUUUUUUUUUUUUUGGUUUGAGACUUGUGUAGCCCAGGCUGGAUGGACUGCAGUGGUGAGAUCUCCACUCGCUGCAAGCUCUGUCUCCCAGGUUCAAGCAAUUCUCCUGCCUCAG